CCUACGGGUGGCAGCAGUGGGGAAUAUUGCACAAUGGGGGAAACCCUGAUGCAGCGACGCCGCGGGAGUGAAGAAGGAUUUCGGUAGGUAAAGCUCUAUCAGCAGGGAAGAAAAUGACGGUACAUGAGUAAGAAGCCCCGGCUAACGACGGGCCAGCAGCCGCGGUAAUACGUAGGGGGCAAGCGUUCUCCGGAUUUACUGGGUGUAAAGGGAGCGUAGACGGCAGCACCAGUCGGGAGUGAACUGCCGGGGCUUAACCCCGGAUCUGCUUUGGAAACUGUGCAGCUAGAGUGCAGUAGUGGUAAGUGCACUUCCUAGUGUAGCGGUGAAUUGCGUAGAUAUUAGGCGGAACCCCAGUGGCG
rnacentral:rRNA from 1 species